rnacentral:rRNA from 2 species
ACAGUGGACGCGAGCAUCUUUGUUGUAAGUGUUUAAGAGCGUACGGUGGAUGCCUUGGCACCAGGAGCCGAUGAAGGACGUAGGAGGCUGCGAUAAGCCUCGGGGAGCUGUCAACCGAGCUGAGAUCCGAGGAUGUCCGAAUGGGGAAACCCAGCCACAGUGAUGUGUGGUUACCCGCGCCUGAAUAUAUAGGGCGUGUGGAGGGAACGUGGGGAAGUGAAACAUCUCAGUACCCACAGGAAGAGAAAACAACAUGUGAUUCCGUGAGUAGUGGCGAGCGAAAGCGGAAGAGGCUAAACCAUGGGUGUGUGAUAGCCGGCGGGCGUUGCAUUCGUGGGGUUGUGGGAUCCGUCUUGUCAAUUCUGCCGGAUUGGCCGACAGUGAGAAAUCAUCGUGUUAGUCGAAGUGGUCUGGAACGGCCUGUCGUAGAGGGUGAGAGUCCCGUAGACGAAAACAUGGUGACUGUCGUGACGGACACCCGAGUAGCAGCGGGCCCGUGAAAUCUGCUGUGAAUCUGUCGGGACCACCCGAUAAGCCUGAAUACUCCCUGGUGACCGAUAGCGGACUAGUACCGUGAGGGAAAGGUGAAAAGUACCCCGGGAGGGGAGUGAAAUAGUACCUGAAACCGUGCGCUUACAAUCCGUCAGAGCCUGCGCCACUUCGGUGGGUGGGUGAUGGCGUGCCUUUUGAAGAAUGAGCCUGCGAGUUAGCGGCAUGUCGCGAGGUUAACCCGUGUGGGGUAGCCGUAGCGAAAGCGAGUCCGAAUAGGGCGUUUGUAGUGGCAUGUUCUAGACCCGAAGCGGAGUGAUCUACCCAUGGCCAGGGUGAAGCGACGGUAAGACGUCGUGGAGGCCCGAACCCACUUAGGUUGAAAACUGAGGGGAUGAGCUGUGGGUAGGGGUGAAAGGCCAAUCAAACUCCGUGAUAGCUGGUUCUCCCCGAAAUGCAUUUAGGUGCAGCGUCGCGUGUUUCACUCUGGAGGUAGAGCUACUGGAUGGCCGAUGGGCCCCACAAGGUUACUGACGUCAGCCAAACUCCGAAUGCCAGAGUGUGAGAGCGCGGCAGUGAGACUGCGGGGGAUAAGCUUCGUAGUCGAGAGGGAAACAGCCCAGAUCGCCGGCUAAGGCCCCUAAGCGUGUACUAAGUGGAAAAGGAUGUGGGGUCGCGAAGACAACCAGGAGGUUGGCUUAGAAGCAGCCACCCUUGAAAGAGUGCGUAAUAGCUCACUGGUCAAGUGAUCCUGCGCCGACAAUGUAGCGGGGCUCAAGUACACCGCCGAAGCCGCGGCAUUCACAUAACACCCAUGCGGGUCUACGGGCCUGUGUGCAGUGGUGUGGAUGGGUAGGGGAGCGUCGUGCAGCCAUGGAAGCGCCGGAGUGAUCCAGGUGUGGAGGCUGCACGAGUGAGAAUGCAGGCAUGAGUAGCGAAAGACGAGUGAGAAACUCGUCCGCCGAAUGACCAAGGGUUCCUGGGCCAGGUUAAUCCGCCCAGGGUGAGUCGGGACCUAAGGCGAGGCCGACAGGCGUAGUCGAUGGACAACGGGUUGAUAUUCCCGUACCCGUGUGAACGCGCCCCUGGUGAAUCAGUGAUGCUAAGCGCCCUGAAGCCGCCUUCGAACCUUCGGGUUCUCCGGUGUGUGGAUGCGCGUGAACCGAUCUGGUAGUAGCCAAGCGAUGGGGUGACGCAGGAAGGUAGCUGAGCCAGUCAGUGGUAAUACUGGUGUAAGCGUGUAGGGCGUGACCUAGGCAAAUCCGGGUCACAUACAGCCUGAGACGUGAUGCGUAGCCGAUUGAGGCGAAUUCAGUGAUCCUAUGCUGCCGAGAAAAGCCUCUAGCGAGCUUUCACACGGCCCGUACCCCAACCGACACAGGUGGUCAGGUAGAGAAUACUAAGGCGAUCGAGAUAACUGUGGUUAAGGAACUCGGCAAAAUGCCCCGUAACUUCGGGAGAAGGGGGGCCUCGUCUGGUGACGGAACUUGCUUCCUGAGCUGGGUGGGGCCGCAGAGACCAGAGAGAAGCGACUGUUUACUAAAAACACAGGUCCGUGCGAAGUCGUAAGACGAUGUAUACGGACUGACGCCUGCCCGGUGCUGGAAGGUUAAGAGGACCGGUUAGCCAGUAAUGGCGAAGCUGAGAAUUUAAGCCCCAGUAAACGGCGGUGGUAACUAUAACCAUCCUAAGGUAGCGAAAUUCCUUGUCGGGUAAGUUCCGACCUGCACGAAUGGCGUAACGACUUCUCUGCUGUCUCAACCACAGACUCGGCGAAAUUGCAUUACGAGUAAAGAUGCUCGUUACGCGCGCAGGAGGACGAAAAGACCCGGGACCUUCACUAUAGCUUGGUAUUGGUGUUCGGUUCGGUUUGUGUAGGAUAGGUGGGAGACUGUGAAGCGGGGCACGCCAGUGUUCGUGGAGUCGUUGUUGAAAUACCACUCUG